ensembl:lncRNA
CUUUUACCGCAUUUACAGCUUCAAAACAAACAUCAUUUCACAACAAGUGGACUCGAGACUUACCGUCUCUUUAGUAAACACACAGAAACUUUUUCAUCCCCGACAUUUAACGGACACGGCGUCGGUGUUGAGGAAGAUUCCAAAGUAACGUUUAUCCGCGCAUUAGUAUUCCAGGGAAAUCCCGUUUCUACGCGUUUUUAUAAACUUCCAGGAGCGUCAGAUGAAAGUUUCACCCCCACGCAGGAAAAAAAACAGAAGACUUUCAUCCAGAUUUCGGACUUUGGUACUUCACACGACCCUCCGGCUGCCGACGUUCCUCUUGCCGUUCCCUCCUCUCCCUGAAUGCCACAUUCUCUCCGCUGGAUUCUCCCGAUUCUCCCGACGGUGUCAAGUUUCCGUAAACGCAGCACUAAACCUCCGCAAAAGAUUUUCAAAAUAAACCUGAAAACGGGAUCAACACAAUUAAAUUAUCAUCUUAUUAUUUUUUUUACGUUUACGUAUUUAUAUGAUUGAAUUUUGAUUUAUUGAUGAUUUUUUUUCACUUCUAUGUAUCCAUCCAUCCAUCCAUCCUCAUUUGCUUUAUCCAAGGUCGGGUCGCGGGGGCAGCAGCCUAAGCAGAGAAGCCCAGACCUCCCUCUCCCCAGCCACCUCCUCCAGCUCAUCCGGGGGAACACCAAGGCGUUCCCAGGCCAGCCGAGAGAUAUAAUCUCUCCAGCGCGUCCUGGGUCUGCCCUGGGCCUCCUCCCGGUGGGACAUGCCCGAACACCUCACCCAGGAGGCGCCCAGGGGGCAUCCUUGUCAGAUGUCCGAACCACCUCAACUGGCUCCUUUCGAUGUGGAGGAGCAGCGGCUCUACUCUGAGCCCCUCCCGGAUGGCCGAACCUCUCACCCUAUCUCUAAGGGAGAGGCCAGCCACCCUUCAGAGGAAGCUCAUUUCUGCCGCUUGUAUCCGCGAUCUCGUUCUUUCGGUCACUACCCACAGCUCGUGGCCAUAGGUGAGGGUCGGGACGUAUUUUUAUUUAAUUCAGACUUCUCCCACAACUCCACCCAGUGCUUCCUGCAGAAGUUCUCUGAUGACUCUGCAAUAGUCGGCCUCAUCACUGAUGGGGACGACAAGGAGUACAGAGGACUGACUCAAGACUUUGUGGACUGGUGCCAGCUGAACUACCUCCAGAUCAAUGCCAGUAAAACCAAGGAGCUGGUGGUAGACUUCCGCAGGCACAAACAUCCUCCACUGCAACCACUGAACAUCCAAGGUAUGGACAUUGAGGCUGUGGACAGCUACAGGUACCUUGGUGUUCAUCUGAACAACAAACUGGACUGGACUCAUAACUCAGACGCCCUCUACAGGAAAGGGCAGAGCAGGCUGUACCUGCUGCGGAGACUCAGGUCGUUUGGAGUGGAGGCCCACUCCUGAAGACCUUCUAUGACUCUGUGGUGGCCUCAGCCAUCUUUUAUGGUGUGGUCUGCUGGGGAGGCAGCAUCUCUGCUGGGGACAGGAAGAGACUGAACAGGCUGAUCCGCAGGGCCAGCUCUGUUCUAGGAUGCCCUCUGGACCCAGUGGAGGUGGUGAGUGACAGGAGAAUGGUGGCUAAACUGUCAUCCCUGUUGGACAACAUCUCCCACCCCAUGCAGGAGACUGUGACAGCACUGAGCAGCUCCUUCAGUGGGAGACUGCGGCACCCACGGUGUGGGACGGAGAGAUUUCACAGGUCUUUCCUCCCCACUGCUGUCAGACUCCACAAUAAAGACUUCAACUGAUCAAACACACACAUCCACACAUGUGCAAUAACACUAAUGUGCAAUAAUUUUCC